rnacentral:rRNA from 1 species
UACAGAGGUCCCAAGCGUUGUUCGGAUUCAUUGGGCGUAAAGGGUGCGUAGGCGGCGCGGUAAGUCGGGUGUGAAAUCUCGGGGCUUAACUCCGAAACUGCAUUCGAUACUGCCGUGCUUGAGGACUGGAGAGGAGACUGGAAUUUACGGUGUAGCGGUGAAAUGCGUAGAUAUCGUAAGGAAGACCAGUGGCGAAGGCGG